rnacentral:tRNA from 1 species
GCCCGCGUAGCUCAAUGGACAGAGCGCCGGACUUCGGAUCCGUCGGUUGCGAGUUCGAAUCCCGCCGCGGGCA